rnacentral:rRNA from 1 species
UACGUAGGGGGGCAAGCGUUGUCCGGAUUUACUGGGCGUAAAGAGCGCGUAGGCGGAAGUUUAAGCGGUGCUUGAAAGCCCCCGGCUCAACCGGGGAGAGUGGUGCCGAACUGGACUUCUUGAGGGCGAUAGAGGAGAGUGGAAUUCCGGGUGUAGCGGUGAAAUGCGUAGAGAUCCGGAGGAACACCAGUGGCGCAGGCGGCCUGCUGGGACAGUGCUGACGCUGAGGCGCG